GACGAACGCUGGCGGCGUGCUUAACACAUGCAAGUCGAACGGAAAGGCCCUUCGGGGUCCUCGAGUGGCGAACGGGUGAGUAACACGUGGGUGAUCUGCCCUGCACUUUGGGAUAAGCCUGGGAAACUGGGUCUAAUACCGAAUAGGACCACGCGCUUCAUGGUGUGUGGUGGAAAGCUUUUGCGGUGUGGGAUGGGCCCGCGGCCUAUCAGCUUGUUGGUGGGGUAAUGGCCUACCAAGGCGACGACGGGUAGCCGGCCUGAGAGGGUGACCGGCCACACUGGGACUGAGAUGCGGCCCAGACUCCUACGGGAGGCAGCAGUGGGGAAUAUUGCACAAUGGGCGCAAGCCUGAUGCAGCGACGCCGCGUGAGGGAUGACGGCCUUCGGGUUGUAAACCUCUUUCAAUAGGGACGAAGCGCAAGUGACGGUACCUAUAGAAGAAGCACCGGCCAACUACGUG
rnacentral:rRNA from 1 species